ACGUCAGAACUGUUUCGGUCUUCCAUCAGGGUUUCCCCUGACUUCAACCUGAUCAAGUAUAGUUCACCAUCUUUCGGGUCACAGCAUAAAUGCUCAAGGUACGUUCCAGUUAGAGGUAUAAAUAAUAUAAAUAUUAUUAUACAUAACUAUAUAGAACGCCCCGGGAUUGUGUUAAUUGUCUAUAAAUAGACAAAAAACUAAUCCCAUUAUCAGUUAAGUUAAUUACGCUAUUAGGUUU
rnacentral:rRNA from 1 species